UCGCUAGUGGCUCAGUUGGUAAGGAAUCUGCCUGCAAUGCAGGAGGCCUGGGUUCAAUCCCUAGGUAGGGAA
rnacentral:tRNA from 1 species